CAUAGCGACUAUCGUGGCAUAUCAAUAAGCGGAGGAAAAGAAACUAACUAGGAUUCCCUUAGUAACGGCGAGUGAAGCGGGAAGAGCUCAAAUUUGAAAUCUUCAAGGUUCUACCUUGACGAAUUGUAGUUUAAAGAAGUGUUUUCUGUUGAAGUUUUGGUAAAAGUUCUUUGGAAUAGGACAUCAUAGAGGGUGAGAAUCCCGUAUUUGACCAUUACUUUUCCAGCUGUGUGAUACACUUUCAAAGAGUCGGAUUGUUUGGGAAUGCAGUCCAAAGAUGGGUGGUAAAUUUCAUCUAAAGCUAAAUAUUGGCGAGAGACCGAUAGCGAACAAGUACCGUGAGGGAAAGAUGAAAAGAACUUUGAAAAGAGAGUUAAACAGUACGUGAAAUUGUCAAAAGGGAAGCGUUUGACACCAGUGUUGUUUUUCCGAAAAUCAAUUAUGAAUGGCUUGAUUUUAAGUUUCAUGACCUUAAAAGCUUGUUUCUUAUUUUUCAUGUCUUUCGUAGUGCACUUUUCGGUUAACAAGUCAACAUCAAUUUCUUUUGUUGUAAAAGGUUAAGAGGAAGGUGGCUUUACUUUCGGGUAAAGUGUUUAUAGCCUUUUAACUCUGCAAUCGGAGAGAUUGAGGUCUGCAGCGUAGAUCCUUCGGGGUUAGAUACGUUUGUGCUAAGUUAUAGCUUUUCAUAGACAACUUGUUGACUAUGUUAAGUCUUGUAAUUUACUCGCAGAUGCUAUUUUACCUACGCUUAGGAUGUUGAUAGUCACAGCGUGUAC
rnacentral:rRNA from 1 species